rnacentral:rRNA from 1 species
AAUGAACGUUGGCGGCGUGGAUUAGGCAUGCAAGUCGUGCGGCAAGGAGGACUUCGGUUCUCCCUAGAGCGGCGAAAGGGAUAGGAAUACAUAGAUACAUGCCUCUUAGCCCGGGAUAGCGUUUGGAAACGAACGAUAAUACCGGACGCCCUCUCCGGAGGAAAGGUGAGAUUCCGCUAAGAGAUUGGUCUAUGUCCUAUUAGCUAGUUGGUAAGGUAACGGCUUACCAAGGCGAUGAUGGGUACGGGGUGUGAGAGCAUGACCCCGAUCACUGGGACUGAGACACGGCCCAGACGCCUACGGGCGGCUGCAGUCGAGAAUCUUCGGCAAUGGACGAAAGUCUGACCGAGCGACGCCGCGUGUAUGACGAAGGUCUUCGGAUUGUAAAGUACUGUCGAUUAGGCGGAAAUAAAUGGGGGCCAUCCCCUAUUUUUGACCUAUCAUUGGAGGAAGGACGGGCUAAGUUCGUGCCAGCCGCCGCAGUAACAC